UACGGAGGAGGCAAGCGUUAUCCGGAAUUAUUGGGCGUAAAGCGUCCGUAGGUGGCACUUCAAGUCUGCGGUCAAAGACCGGGGCUUAACCCUGGAAAGGCCGUGGAAACUGAAGUGCUAGAGUGCAGUAGGGGUAGAGGGAAUUCCCGGUGUAGCGGUGAAAUGCGUAGAGCUCGGGAAGAACAUCGGUGGCGAAAGCGCUCUACUGGACUGCAACUGACACUGAGGGACGAAAGCUAGGGGAGCGAACGGG
rnacentral:rRNA from 1 species